GCCUAUGGCCAUACCACCCUGAACACGCCCGAUCUCGUCUGAUCUCGGAAGCUAAGCAGGGUCGGGCCUGGUUAGUACUUGGAUGGGAGAGCGCCUGGGAAUACCAGGUGUUGUAGGCU
rnacentral:rRNA from 1 species